rnacentral:rRNA from 1 species
AGCGAACGCUGGCGGCAGGCCUAACACAUGCAAGUCGAACGAACUCUUCGGAGUUAGUGGCGGACGGGUGAGUAACACGUGGGAACGUGCCUUUUGGUUCGGAAUAACUCAGGGAAACUUGUGCUAAUACCGAAUGUGCCCUUCGGGGGAAAGAUUUAUCGCCAUUAGAGCGGCCCGCGUCUGAUUAGCUAGUUGGUGAGGUAACGGCUCACCAAGGCGACGAUCAGUAGCUGGUCUGAGAGGAUGACCAGCCACACUGGGACUGAGAUACGGCCCAGACUCCUACGGGAGGCAGCAGUGGGGAAUCUUGCGCAAUGGGCGAAAGCCUGACGCAGCCAUGCCGCGUGAAUGAUGAAGGUCUUAGGAUUGUAAAAUUCUUUCACCGGGGACGAUAAUGACGGUACCCGGAGAGGAAGCCCCGGCUAACUUCGUG